rnacentral:rRNA from 1 species
AACGUAGGAGACAAACGUUAUCCGGAGUUACUGGGCGUAAAGGGCGUGUAGGUGGUAAUGUAAGUCUGGCGUGAAAUUUUCGGCUUAACCGGGAAAGGUCGUCGGAUACUGCAUCACUAGAGGACGGUAGAGGCGUGUGGAAUUCCGGGUGUAGUGGUGAAAUGCGUAGAGAUCGGGAAGAACAUCAGUGGCGAAGGCGGUCUGCUGGGCCGUUGCUGA